rnacentral:rRNA from 1 species
CGGCGAGUGAAGCGGGAUGAGCUCAAAUUUGAAAGCUGGCAGCAAUGCCCGCAUUGUAAUCUCGAGAGUUGUUUUCCGCGCUGGACCACGUACAAGUUCCUUGGAAUAGGAUGUCAUAGAGGGUGAAAAUCCCGUACUUGAUGUGGACGCCCAGUGCUUUGUGAUACAUCUUCGAAGAGUCGAGUUGUUUGGGAAUGCAGCUCAAAAUGGGUGGUAAAUUCCAUCUAAAGCUAAAUAUUGGGGAGAGACCGAUAGCGAACAAGUACCGUGAGGGAAAGAUGAAAAGCACUUUGGAAAGAGAGUUAAACAGUACGUGAAAUUGUCAAAAGGGAAGCAUUUGAAGUCAGACGUGUGUUGCAGUAUUCAGCCUUGCUUUUGCUUGGUGUAUUUGCUGUAGUACAGGCCAACAUCAGUUUUGAAUGGCGGAUAAGGGUAUGGAGAAUGUGGCACCCUCGGGUGUGUUAUAGCUCUAUACUGGAUACGUUGUUUUUUACUGAGGAACGCAGCGCGCCGCAAGGCAGACCUUCGGGUACUUUCGCGGCUUAGGAUGUUGGCGUAAUGGCUUUA